rnacentral:rRNA from 1 species
AUUGAGCGCUGGCGGCAGGCUUAACACAUGCAAGUCGAGCGGAGCGAGGGUGCUUGCACCUUAGCUUAGCGGCGGACGGGUGAGUAAUGCUUAGGAAUCUGCCUAUUAGUGGGGGACAACAUUCCGAAAGGAAUGCUAAUACCGCAUACGCCCUACGGGGGAAAGCAGGGGGUCUUCGGACCUUGCGCUAAUAGAUGAGCCUAAGUCGGAUUAGCUAGUUGGUGGGGUAAAGGCCUACCAAGGCGUCGAUCUGUAGCGGGCCUGAGAGGAUGAUCCGCCACACUGGGACUGAGACACGGCCCAGACUCCUACGGGAGGCAGCAGUGGGGAAUAUUGGACAAUGGGCGGAAGCCUGAUCCAGCCAUGCCGCGUGUGUGAAGAAGGCCUUUUGGUUGUAAAGCACUUUAAGCGAGGAGGAGGCUACUUAGAUUAAUACUCUGGGAUAGUGGACGUUACUCGCAGAAUAAGCACCGGCUAACUCUGUGCCAGCCGCCGCGGUAAAAC